AAAAAGCAGAAUCAAACUGGGCUCUGACCGAACAUGAACUGUCUCUUACAACUUCUUUUGAUAAGCUACGGCUGUAGAGGACUGCUCAACCACUCACAGGGGAUUAGAGUCUGAGCUCCACUUCCCUCCUUGUUUUCUACUACAGCACCAUGGGACUGGAGCGCUGGACGCAGCACCUAAGCCACGUUGUUGAUCAAGGGUUCUUGUGCCAGGCUAGUGACUUACUGAAGAGGCCUGGAACCAGUUUGUCUGUCUGCCAGCCUGACCCCUGCUCUUUGAUCAGAGAGCUGGCUGUGCUGAAGGAGAAAUUGGGAACCAUGGACCAGAAACUGGGAGCUGUAGAGGAGCUGAGGCGUGUGAACAAAGUUCAAGAGGAAGAACUGAAAACUUUGAAGGAGGGUUUAAAGUGUGGUUCUGGGCCUUUGGAGCGAUCUCCAGCGACAUCCAUUUACAGUACAAGCGAGUACUCUCCAACAUUGGCAGUGGCUACAACUCUGCUAAAGGCGUCUUCACAGCCAUGGCGAAAGGGGUAUAUUUCUUCCAUUACACCAGCGUUUCCCAAACUCUGUCCUGGGGACCCCAAGUGGUGUACGUUUCGUUUUUUUGCCAUAGCACUACACAGCUGAUUUAAAUAAUGAACUCAUCAUCAAGCUUUGAUUAUUUGAAUCAGCUGUGUAGUACUAGGGCAAAAAACUAAAUGUGCACCCCUUCGUGUCCCCAGGACCGAGUUUGGGAAACACAGCGUUACACCAUGUACAACCAAGGAAGUUAACCAUCUGUCGUGUCUAUGAUGAAGAAAGGCUACCUGGUAAAGCACCGAAGAUCGUGACAACGACAGUAACACAGCCGUAGUGAAGCUGGAGGUGGGAGACAGUGUUUACAUACAGCUAUGGGCUACCAGGGUUGUCUUCGAUGAUACUGGAAUCUACAAUGGUAAUGCAGGUUUUAAUCAAAUACCUAUUAAACGGUCAUACGAUCAUCAUUUCUUUGGUUGUUGCUCUGCUGCAUUUAGUUUUGGACGUCAGGAUCAUACUACCCUUCACCAAAUUAUUCCUUUUGGGGUUAAUUUUAGAUAGUUUUUUCUUGUCAUACUGUUAAUGUUGAAAAUAUUCACUUAAAUAAAUGAACAAUAAAAUUAAUAAUUAAAGGUGCUUUGCUUAAACAAAAAAAGUAACAUGAAUGGGGGCUGGUGUGUAGUUUCUUGAGUCUGUCCUGAGCUGUUGAGGCUGCAUUUUUAUUUAUUUAUAAACACAGAAAAUACUAGCUGUCUAUUUACAAUUGAAAUCAACCCCCUUUUUUUUCUUCCCUGUGUGGCUCAGAUCGCCAGUGGGGAUUAAUCUGUGCUGUUGGAACAGCUAGUGUUUCUUUAUCAUUGAGUUUGACUCCACUACUGAUUUCUCCUGGUAGGGGAGGUUUCCUCAUGUGCAAAUGGCCCAGCAGGAGAGAGAUCUUGUCUGACUUGACUGACGCCUCCUUGUUUGGCCAAGUGCACCAGAAACAAACAAACAAACCACCGCCGUUUUCUGGUUUAUGGAUAAGCCCCUAUAUAUUGUAAAAUGCUCACAAUUGCUGUAGCCGUUGUUCUAUCUUUAUUUGACCAACAAACAAAAAAGGAUUGGACCUUUUCACUUCAUAUCUGUCAGGAGACAUAACAAACUACAGUAGGACAGCUUUUAUGGAUCACCACCAUUGAAGACUAUUUUCUCAUGGUGAUGGAUACAUGUCUACACACUAAAAGUAUUAGUCUGAAACAUGAUAAAUGUAGUCUCCAGCCACUGACUGUCCCAGAAGCUAUUUGUCAGAAAAAGAGGCUCAUUUCCUGGGACUGAAAAUAUUGCAUUACCCAUCAUUAUAAGACGGAUGAACUGUCAGGUACCUGAUUCUGUAUCAAAUACAUUGUGAUUCUAUGACCCACUGCAUUGUACUGGUGAGUGGGAGAGUGAAACAAUUAUUAACUUGGAGAUAAACAACACCAAGGGAAUGUAAUUUAAGAUAAGCUGCAAACAAAAUCAGGGGGUCUUCAUCCAUCUAGGCUAUCAAUGUCCUUGUUUGAGUUGUCAACAUAGAAGUUUGCUGCCUCUGGUCUGGAUUUAUAAGAAAUAAAAGUCAUGACCGUCAAAAAUGUUA